rnacentral:rRNA from 1 species
UACAGGGGGGGCAAGCGUUGUUCGGAAUUACUGGGCGUAAAGGGCUCGUAGGUGGCCAACUAAGUCGGACGUGAAAUCCCUCAGCUUAACUGGGGAACUGCAUCCGAUACUGGAUGGCUUGAGUUUGGGAGAGGGAUGCGGGAUUCCAGGUGUAGCGGUGAAAUGCGUAGAUAUCUGGAGGAACACCGGUGGCGAAGGCGGCAUCCUGGACCAACACUGACACUGAGGAGCGAAAGCGUGGGGAGCAAACAGG